rnacentral:rRNA from 1 species
UUGUUAUAAUUUUUAAUGCAUAUAAUUAUAGUUUAUGAUAUACAAUAAUUUAAUUUAAUUUGUAAUUACUAAAAGUAGUCAAUAGAAUAGCUAAACUUGAUCUAUAAUAAGAUGAGUUCAAUUAAUGUGCCAGCCAACGCGGUUAUACCUUUCCGUCUAAUGCUGUAAUUUUCUAUAAGUAGCAAUUAUGAUCUAAUUGUUUAAAGUUAAAAUUGUUUAUUGCUUAUAAGUGUAGUUCUCUAGAAAAGGAUUAGAGACCCUUGUAUAGAACUAACAUAACUCUUUCAAAAGAAAGAUAAAUCACGAACUAGGCAGUCUAUUAUUAUACAGAGGGGGAUGAUCUGUAAAUCGAUAAUCCCCGUUAAAAUUCCUGAUUAUUAUAUGUCAUAUAUUGCCAUUAUACUCAUAACUUGAGUUAUUGAGAGAGGUAGGUCUGAAUGUGCUCUCUUCAGGUUUGUAUUAUCCUCAGUUUAUUAACAAUGGGCUGGUCUUUAGAUUAAUUUGUAAGUAAUAUUUUCUUUACAUAAGAAAGUGAAAUUAAAAGUCUCCUAAUCAACAGAUGCACUCACUGCCCGCUAAUGCCCGACAUAUUACUGGGUAUAAGGCGUAACAAGGUAGGUAUAGUAGAAACUGCACCUAGAUAA